CCCGGACCGGGGCACAAACCCAUGUCCCCUGCAUUGGAAGGUGGACUCUCAACCACUGCACCACCAGGGAAGCCCUUUAUAGGUCAUCUUGACCAACCUCCCACCCGACACAGAAAUUUGUAAAAAUUGAAGCCGUGUUCGGUGUAGUGAUGCUGCAUUCGUGUGGCCCUCUGGGGCUACAGAGGGCUUCCGUGGUGCUUUUCUCACCUGAUCACACCGAGCCCUAAGGCAGGCAGGCAGCGGUGCCCACUCCUACCCUGCAGGUGUGGGGAAUGGCCAGAACCUGCCCAGCAUGACCAGCUAGUCAGGGAUGGAGCUGGUAUACGACACCAGUCUGCCUUGGCGCCCUCCCUGCCAGGUGGUCCCCAAGCCCGUGCUCUCACCCAUCCACAUGCAGCACACUCCCUUGUAAGGGAGCCCAUUCUAGGCUGAAACUGCCUAUCUCCCUGGAGGCCCUGGGCCAGGCAAAGCAAAAAUGGCGUCUUGCCCUAGGGAACUGGAGGGGUGCAAGUGUGCGCUUAUUCCCUUCUCCCCACAGCACAACCCAGAUCUGUCCUCACGUGCUCACCAGUGUCGGGACUGGGGGGUGCCCCGGUGAGGGCCUCCAGCGUAGCCAACCCACCGCUCUGGGGAGGAGAGCGGAGGAUGGGGGCAGGAAAGGAGACUGUAACGAGCCCCUCCUCUGCGCCAGGCCUGUUGUGUACAUUCAUAAGGUCGGGCGGUGAUUUCCAUUUUAUACACCCGAAAACCAAGGCCCAGGGCAGGUCAAAUGACCAAUGGGCUCAAGGUCACAUAGCUAGGGGAUGGUGGAGUCAGAAGCCAAACUCUGUUGUUUACACAACCUCAGGCUGUCUUCCGGACCAGCCACCUGGUCAGUUUAAAAGUCUCUACCUUCCCGGGCAGGACAAGAUGAGAGUGGAUUGUCCUGUCAAGGCCACAUUCAUGGUCCAGACGGGUGAGGCCAGGAAGUGAAUGUGGCUGCUUCCCGAGGAUUGGGGCCUGUUUGGGGGAGCUGGGCCUCCUCCAAAUAGGCGGAGGGUGGCCGUGGGGGCCACACCCGAUGCUGGGGAGCAGGUCACCAGAGCGGCCAGGCCUGCUGAGUCAUGCUCAGCUGCAGCGGACGUGAUGGGGCUUUUCCAAGCUUGUGGGAAAUGGCGACCGUGGGCCCAUGCUUGAAGCAGUUCCAAGCCCUGCUUCUGCUAAGUGCUCUGAGCAGAUCUUGCCAAGGUGUGUGCCUCGGAGCUGGCUUCCUUUGGGAAUCCUUACAGAUGCAAAGUGUGUACAGUCUUAGAGACAGGGGACAGACAGUGUCCCCUGACACUUACAGAAUCUGACCUCAUUGGUCUGGGAUGCUGUCUGGGCAUCAAAGUUUUAAAGCUCCCCAGUUGAUUCUAAUGUGCAGCAAAAGAUGAGAAGCACUGGAUUAAGUGAUCACAGGGGUGGUCAUGUGACUGUGAUCACAUAGUGAGUUACGCAUGGUGACAGAACUAGGACUCUAAGAACAGGAUAGAGGUGUUUUCCGGAAACAGAACAGGGUUGUGGUAAGCAGGGGCCCACAGGUGGGGAUAAAAUGCCCAGAGGAAAGAAAGUCUGUGUGUCACUAGGGUAAAUGGGAGGAGGGAGAAGGAUGGGAGGGCGACGAGGUAAGCCAGAAGCUGCCCACAAGGGGCUCUUGUGGUCGGUAGUUUCAUCUGCAGAAUCUUCAGCCACUGGCAGGGCGUGGCACAGCAAGAAUGGGCAGGUGGGCACCAAUGCGUAGGCCGAGCUGGGGAGUGUGGACUUCAGAACUCCACUAAAGAGGACAGAUAGGAUCAGAUUUGCAUUUUAGGGAAAUGAUUCAGGCGUCUGGUGCAGUGGGAUGGGUCUCAGAAUGUGAAACUAGAGACAGGGAAAUAGUGAGAAGGCUGCUGCUGUACUAGGGGUAGAAAAACCAACACUGAAUAGGAAGAAUGGGCAGGAGCUGAUCAUCAAUUCAGCCUGAGGAUGAGAGAGUGGGGUUUAAAACUGGCUUCUAGAUUUCUGGUUCGGGCGAUGUGGGUCUGGAGGCAGAGUAGGGAGGUGCCGUGGGAUAUGCAGGAACUGAGGUUUAGUGACACGGCGGGACAAGCACUUGGACACGGGGGUCUGUUUCUUUGGAGGGUAGUCAGUGGGAGAAGACCGAUAGGUUGGUCACCGGUAUCCAUAGUGAUAGAGAAGGAUCUCCCAGAGGGACUGCAGAGUAAAAAGAGAAGUAAGGGUCAAGCCCUGGAGAGCACACCCACUGACAGAAGAUCCUGGGAAGGAGGAGGAGAGCUGGCACCUCUACGCCAGGAGACCAGACCCUUCUGAGCCAGAGGAAGAAUGGAAGCGCCUGAGGAUGAGCGUCCAUGGCCAUGUCCUUCGUCCCUAGAGCAGUGCCCGUCCAUAGGAACAGGCACUCAGAUGUGGACGGAGUGAAGGGAUGCUAUCCAGUGCUCCGGAGGCUGACCUGGGCAGAUCAGCUCCAUAUUGCCAAAGGCAAAAGACCCUCCGGUGACCCUGCUGUGGCAAAGGCUGUCCAAGUGGAGUCCUGUGGGUAGAGACCUCCCUGCAGUAGGUUGAACAGGGAGAAGGGAGAUGGGGGAGAGCAGAGACAGCCCUUCCAAGGGACUCGGUAGAGAAGGAAGAAAGAAGGGUGGUCGCCAGAGGGGUUGUCUGGCUAAGGUUUUUUUUAAUACGAAGACUUCAGUUUUAAACAGCUUGUAAGGAAUCAGCAGAGGAGGAGAGGGUGAAGAUAAGGAGGGGGGGGUGGUCCUUCAGGAGGCCGGUGGUGGUGGAGCAGAGGCAAAGGGGUCGCAUUUGGCCGGAAGGGACUAAGACAAGGGUGCAGUUGUGGACAAACCCAGAGUGAUGUUCUCUAAUUCUUGGGACUUCCCAUCUAAUCAGAAACAGGCGAAAGGUGAGAAUUACAGUGGAAGAUGGGCGGGACAGCGGGCAGGGGAUCCGGGCAGCACAGACGGCCCAGCGGUAAACAUUUAUAGGAGCAUUUGCGGGCACCUGUCCAAAGGUCACUUGGGCAGCCGGCCUCUGAGGACUGAGGUGAGAGACCUGCGUGGCGUUUCCGGGGGAGUGUGCUCAGGCACUCCUCCGCCUGUUUACUCUUGUACUUUACAGACACUUCUCAUAAGCCUGGCCAUAGUUUUCCCAACCCGGAGCAAACAGGAUAAACUUAACAGGUGAAGAGGGGAGAGGACAACACUAGAGGAAGAGAUGAAAGCGGGGCUCAGAGCCGACAGCCAUGCCUCGGGAGGCACCAUAGCCAUUGUCCUGGGAGGGCCCAGUGAUUGUGCCAACACCGUCACUCAACGUGGACUAUGCCAGGCACUGCCCUAGAUGGGGGGAGGGAUAGAGCCAAGAACACCGCAGGCUCACCCUGGCCCUCAGGAAGCUGCCUGACACAUGGUCAGAGCUGGGCCCUGUCCCUGCCGUCCAGACAUUCAACCAUCCAGAGUGCAGAGGCGGGGUGGGGAGGAGAGACCCCUUGGGAAGAGCCGCAGUAUUAUUAACGGAGGGCUUCUCGGUGCUAUGGGAACGAAGAGAAAGGAAUGACUAAUGCUGGGGGUAGGGCUGAUGGCAGAGACAGAAGGGGCCUCACGAAGGAGUUAGCAGCUGUGCUAGACCUUGAGGGCAAAUCGGCCCCAGAGGGAAGGAGGGGCGGGUAUCCCAGGCAAUAGGAACGGCUUGUGCAGAGAUGCGGUGGCAUGAAGUGUUCCACUGAUGGGGAAUUGCUAACGGCCCGCGCUGACCAGGCCGACCCCCCUUGUCUGUCUAGAGGCACUUCCCUUAGGAAACUGCACUGCGCUGGCCAGGUUGGCCUACUUGCCAAUGGAGACUUUGUCCCACUAGAGGUGAGGGUGCCAGUACUGCUGUUAAUUACCGGAAGCUUGGUCUCCUCCAUAAAACAGGCCCCAAAGGGCUUCCUCUUGGAAGUGGUUAAUUAAUCAUAACAUCAUCUUAAAUGUUUACAAAGCACCUCCUAAUAAGUUGCCUCCUCACAGCAGCCCCACAAGGUGGGUGGGGCCGGGCUUAUCUUCCCCUCAUAAAGGAGGCACCGAGGCUGGGAGGGGUCACCUGGAGAGUGAGAGGCUGAGUUACAGAUGGACGCCAGGCCUCACGCCUGAUGACGACAUCCCUGCCAGGCCUCCGGCCUCUGCAGGGUGGGAGGGGAGCCCAGUCACACAGAGAGCAGAUAAAUGAGCAGGGGCGUCCUGACCGUCAUGCUGAGUGGAGAGAACUACCUCUCCCCUCCCCAAACGGCUGAGCUGCCAACAGAGGUGACUAAAGGCCAUUGAGGAACCAUGAGUGCCCGGCCAAGGGACAGUGUCGGGCAUGUCUGAGGCAUCCUCAGAAACCAGACCGCUUGGGCUGGAAGGGGCCUGACAGUCCGCAGGCUCAACGUUCCUUGUUUGCCAAAGGAAGAACUUGGUCUAGAGAGCAGGCAAGGUCUGCCCAGGACGACCUGCUUGGUGAGUGAAAGUACUGGAGGCAAGAUGGGCUUCCCAGCCCAGGCUCCAGGCAGCCUCUCCUUAUCUCUGCCUAGAUCCAGAGGGCUCUGGGCCCCCUCUCCCCUUCGCCCAUCUCCGCUUAUACGGACUCUCACAGCUUACAGCUCACUUGUCACGUGCUAGGCAUUGUUCCAAAUGCAUUAGAAACAAUAAUUCAAUUGUUCCAUAUAAUAUAACCCCAUUAGGGAGACACCAUAAUCCCUGUAUUAUAAAAAACUAGGGCACAGAGAUGUUAAGCAAUUAAACCAAGGGCACACAGCUAGUAAGUGGCAGAGCUGGGAUUUAAAUCCAGGGAGUCUGGCUCCACUCUACAUCCUUGACCACCACAGAAGAAAUGGCAGUUACACUUACAGGCACCGAAACACCCUUUUACAUGCCAACAACUGCUACCCUGCUGCUCUCUCCUGCUCUUACUUCAAGCUGAGUCACGCACAGACGUCCCAGUUUCCCACGCACAGUUGCACAGCCUCUUACACCACGACACCCUGCCACAGCUCCGUCAUCUCUUAAGCCUCUCCGGUUCAUGGCCUGUUCAUCAAUUAGUGACAAUGCUUUCUGCCUCCAGCCCUGUGCUGGGACCCAGAUGAACCAGACUGUCCCCCUGUUGGAGUUUAGUCUAGAGGGAGCACACAGUGCCUCAUAGUUAGCUGUCCGGGGCGGUGAUGGAAACAAGGACAGGCUGGUGUAAGCGGACAAGGGGGAGGGAGAGGGUACCUGGCCCAUAGAGGAGGGUUUUUCUCAACACCAUAGACAUUUGUGGCCAGAUAGUUCUUUGGCAUCACGGAGGCUGUCCCAUGCACUGUAGGGCGUUUAGCAGCAUCCCUGGCCUCUACCCCUGCCAGUGUAACAACCAAAAAUGUCUCCAGACGUUGGGGGGGGGAGCAAAUUGCCCCUGUUUGGGAACCACUGCAGUAAUGAAGAGGUUAUGAAGGCUUUCCAGAGGAGGGAUGGCGCGUUCUCUAGAAAGUGACCAACAGCUCACCAGGCAGAAGGCGAAGCAGCAGCAAAGCGAAGGUGCAGAGGUGUGGGGUGCCCGGGCAGCAUGGGGGCGUUGCCAUGUGGGGUGGGAAGAGACACUUCAUCCUGAGGGUGGUGGGGAGACAAGAAAAGCUGUGAGCAGGGGAAAUGAAGAUCCUUCUGUUUGCAGGGGAGACCCCAAAGGCCAGGGACCAGUGAGGAGGUCAGAGCAAAGGCUUGGAGAGAAGCCUUUCUCAGGGCUCUUCCAGAAAAGCAGCCAGGGUGGUCCGAUCAUCUGCUCUGGGGUUGGGGCCCAGCUUCUAGCUCCAUCUGCCUGCCUGGGCCUCUUCACCAGGCCCCAGGGAGAGGCCCUGAGGAACCCAGAAGUUAUCUGUCCAGCCCCACCUGUAGCAUCUGUCUCCGAACUCCCAGCUGACCCUGGGGCGUGGCUGAGUUGCUAUGGAGACAUACCACCUGGGGCGAGGGGCGGGGGCAGCCCCAGCUGUGGGGGAGGGGUAGGUAGGGAACUGGAAAUAGGGGUCAAAGCCAGGCUGAGGGGCUGAACUGGACAAGCUGGCCCUUUCUUCCUCCCGACUGGACCUCGAAGCUUGGGCGGCUGUUUAACCCCUUCAUCCCCACAGUAUAUCUAAGAGAGAAGAAAGGGUUGAGAGAGAGCUGAUUCCCUCUCAGGAUGAUCUAGAACAGGGGGCCCCAACCCCCGGGCCAGGGACCAGUACGGGGGGCCUCACAGCAGGAGGUGAGCGGCGGGCAGGCCGGUCAGCCGCUCCCCACCGCUCGUGUUACUGCCUGAAUCACGCCCACUGCCACCCCCGGUCCGUGGAAAAACCCUCUUCCAUGAAACCGGCCCCUGGUGCCAAAAAGGUUGGGGCCCGCUGAUCUAGGAGACCAGGCCUCUGCAGGGAAUAUGUGGAGAGCAGCCAGAAAUUCCAAAACAUAUACCCCUUCUCUUGGCAGUGGUCUGGAAUUCUAGAACACGGGUUGGCAGGGGGACCAAAUCCAGCUAGCAGCCUGUUUUUGUAUGGCCUAUGAGCCAAGAAUGGGUUUUACGUGUUUAAAAGGUUGGGGUGGCGGGGAGGGAGGGAAGGGAAGAAAAAUAAGCAGUCAUCAACAGACUCUAAUAUUUUCUAUCUAGCCUUUUACAUAAAUUGUUUAUAUCAAUCCCUGAUCCAAACUUUGACUUGUAUGCUCCCUGCUGACAGGGGACUCACUAACUGUAACAUGGGUAAUCUCACCCUCUGAAGCCUAGAAAGCUCUUCUUUCCCCUGAGCUGAAGUCUGUGCCCUGGGGCUCUGCAGACCUGCUGGGUCCCUCGGCCUGGGCAGCCAGCAAGUUCUGAAGAUAGAGCUUUACUCCCCAGGGCAAGCCUCUAGUUCCUUCAGGUUCUUUCUUGUACUAUAAUUCUAGGUUAAUGCUUUGUCUUGCAGUAAUUAAAAAAUGGAAAACUCUGUCCUUAAUGUUCCUCUCAAGGAGAUGGCUUCUCUCCUUGAGAUAACAGUGACACAAGGAACAGCUUACUCCAUGUGCCAGGCAGUGGGCUCCGCCUCACACCCAGAGCCUCACUACAGACGCUGCCCUGACACAGAGGAAGUCAGAACUUCUGCUCUAGACAGAGAGACGUGUGGUCCUUCAGCCACAGUUACCCAGGCAGGGAAGGGAGGGGGGAUGACAGACAUGACACAAGCCUCUCCCCACCCUCACCCCCAGGAGAACUGCUGGGAUGAGGAAUAGCUCUUUACUGGAAACCAUUCAGUCCAAGGGAUGGCAGCUGCCCAGGGCCAUCCUGCUUCUCCAGGCUGGCCCCUACAGUGUCACCAAGUGAGCCUCUGCCCUAGGUUCAAUGAGGGGAUGCUUAGAGAAAGAGCUCUAAUAGCCCCUCAGCUUCCAACAGCCUGAUGCCAUGGCUGACCGGGACCUGCCCUUUCUCCCCAGCACGCGGGCACUCACACCGACCCUUGGCAGGGAGAGGGGUUGGGAAUGGGCUGGCAAGGGAACAGAGACAAACGGAGAGCUGAGCCUAGUCUGCUUGACGUCCAGGGCUCGACUGCCAAGUCAGGGAAUAAUGGUGGGAAUUGGAAUCUGGCUUCGGUGGAUGGGAGGAGUCAGGAGCAGAAUCCAGGUGAGACUUAGGGCAGGUGCUGCGUGAGUAGAGAGGAGGACCGAUAAGGAGGUAGGAUUUUAUGGACAGGACCUGGUGAGUGACUGCAUGUGGGGCAGUGGCAGGAUCAAGGGUAGCUCCCAGGCUUGUAACCAGAAUGUGAGGAAAGAGCAUUCAGAAGAAGCACGUGUGAGGCCUCGCCUCAGACAUGAGCCGGGGCUGAGGAGGCCGCCAGGAAGCUCGCUGCCGAGACCGGGCCUGUGGGCUCCUGUUAAGGGUGCAGAGCAGUAAGGAGGCUCUUCUUCCAUGACGGGCACCCAGCCACUGCUGGAUGAUGCUCAAGGCAGCGGCUGGGUGGAAGAGGUGACCCCAGAGCUUCUCCCCACGCAGGGUUCUCCUGUUCUCCAGGGACCCACCGCCUUUCCUGGGCCAAGGGCCAGCUUCACCCCCCCACACAGGGCAUGGACCCGAGGGGAGAGGACAAACAGCCCACGCACCGCCCACAGGAAAGGAAAACCACACUGGCUUCUUCCCACAAAUCUCAAGCACCAGAUCAAGAGGCAGGAACCCAGUGGGCAACCUCGGCUUGGCCAAGAAGUGCUGCUGGGGGGUGAAGAGGAUGAGCCUGGGGCCAAGGUGAUUGAGGAGUUCUACAACCAGACAUGGAUCCACCGCUAUGGGGAGCGCAUCUUGCCCGCCACACUGACCACGCUCUGGUCCCUCUCUGUGGCCAUCUUCUCCGUGGGGGGCAUGAUUGGCUCCUUCUCUGUGGGCCUUUUCGUUAACCGUUUUGGCCGGCGGAAUUCAAUGCUGAUGAUGAACCUGCUGACCUUUGUGUCCGCUGUGCUCAUGGGCUUCUCAAAACUGGCCAAGUCCUUUGAGAUGCUGAUCCUCGGCCGCUUCGUCAUUGGUGUAUACUGCGGCCUGACCACUGGCUUCGUGCCCAUGUACGUGGGGGAGGUGUCCCCCACGGACCUUCGCGGGGCCCUGGGUACCCUGCACCAGCUGGGCAUCGUCGUCGGCAUCCUCAUCGCCCAGGUGUUUGGCCUGGACUCCAUCAUGGGCAACCAGGACCUGUGGCCCCUGCUGCUGAGCGUCAUCUUCAUCCCAGCCCUGCUGCAGUGCAUUCUGCUGCCCUUCUGCCCUGAGAGCCCCCGCUUCCUGCUCAUCAACCGCAACGAGGAGAACCGGGCCAAGAGCGUGCUGAAGAAGCUGCGCGGGACCUCGGAUGUGACCCGCGACCUGCAGGAGAUGAAGGAGGAGAGCCGGCAGAUGAUGCGGGAGAAGAAGGUCACCAUCCUGGAGCUGUUCCGCUCGACCGCCUACCGUCAGCCCAUCCUCAUUGCCGUGGUGCUGCAGCUGUCCCAGCAGCUGUCUGGCAUCAAUGCUGUUUUCUAUUACUCCACAAGCAUCUUCGAGAAGGCGGGGGUGCAGCAGCCUGUGUAUGCCACCAUCGGCUCCGGCAUCGUCAACACAGCCUUCACUGUCGUGUCGCUGUUUGUGGUGGAACGAGCUGGCCGGCGGACGCUGCACCUCAUAGGCCUGGCCGGUAUGGCAGGCUGUGCGGUGCUCAUGACCAUCGCGCUGGCGCUGCUGGAGCGGCUGCCCUGGAUGUCCUACCUGAGCAUCGUGGCCAUCUUUGGCUUCGUGGCCUUCUUCGAAGUGGGCCCCGGCCCCAUCCCAUGGUUCAUUGUGGCUGAACUCUUCAGCCAGGGCCCUCGUCCAGCUGCCAUUGCUGUCGCUGGCUUCUCCAACUGGACCUCAAAUUUCAUUGUGGGCAUGUGCUUCCAGUAUGUGGAGCAACUGUGUGGUCCCUAUGUCUUCAUCAUCUUCACCGUGCUCCUGGUUCUGUUCUUCAUCUUCACCUACUUCAAAGUUCCCGAGACGAAAGGCAGGACCUUCGAUGAGAUUGCUUCCGGCUUCCGGCAGGGGGGAGCGAGCCAAAGUGACAAGACACCCGAGGAGCUGUUCCACCCCCUGGGAGCUGAUUCACAAGUGUGAGGUGCCCCACACCACCAGCCCGGUCUGCUCCCAGCAGCCCAAGGAUCUCUCAGAGCACAGGCAGCUGGAUGAGACUUUCAAACUGACAAGAUCUCAGCAGAGCUGGGCCUGGGGCUCUUUCCUUCAGCCAGUAGUGAUGUCCAGAAGAAUAUUCAGGACUUUUAAUGGCUCCAGGAUUUUAACAAGACUGUUGCUCAGAUCUAUUCAGACAAGCAACAGGUUUUAUAAUUUUUUUAUUACUGAUUUUGUUAUUAUUUUUUUAUCAGCCAGAGUCUCCUUUAUCCACAUCCCUGGCUUCACCCUGAAUGGCUCAGUGCCUGAGGGUGGGGACCAAGCCCUGCCUAGACACUUGCCUUCUUUGCCAAGCUAAUCUGUAGGGCCGGACCUAUGACCCAAGGACACACUAAUCGAACUACGAACCAUGAGUCUUCUACCCUAAGAGGUGGCUCUGGCCACUCCUUCUGUGGGCCUGGGUCUCCCCACCUAGGGAUCAGGCUCCAGGAUCAGGCUCCAUUAGGAUUCGCCCAUUCCUGUCUCUUCCUACCCAACCACUCAAAUUAAUCUUCCCUUGCCUGAGACCAGUUGGGAGCACUGGAGUACAGGGAGGAGAGGGGAAGGGCCAGACUGGGCUGCCAGGUGCUAGUCUCCUUUGCACUGAGGGCCAGACGGUCACCAAGAGAGGAGGGCCAUGGGAAACUGAGAACUCACUAUUCAAGAAGACGUGAACACUCCUGCCCUGCUGUGUAUAGUUGGAAGAUAUUUAUAUAUAUUUUUUGGUUGUCAAUAUUAAAUACAGACACUAAGUUAUAGUAUAUCUGGACAAACCAACUUGUAAAUACACCACCUUACUCUGUAACUUACCUAAGCAGAUAUAAAUGGCUGGUUUUUAGAAACAUCGUUCUGAAAUGCAUAUGGGUUGAGGGUAGACAGAUUUGGAUGGGAAUGGGAAAGAAGCAACUAUUAGAGCGGCUUCAGACUUUUUGACUCCAAGAUUCAGUCACUUCCAAGCACCUUUGAUCAACACGCUCUACUGCUUAAAAAUCUGUUUGAUCUCUAUUACCUAGAGAAAAAUCUAAAAAUCUUGGCAUUCGAGGCAUUCCCAUUUUCCUUCACGUAGGAUAGCUGGUAUUCAAAAAAAUGACAGCUAUGUGCUGACCUUGAUGCUCAGGCAUGAAGAUAAUACGCGUUAUCUUGAAUGUGAGGUAGGUACUAUCUCUGUACAGUUGACAGGCUCAAAGAGGUUAACGUGCCUGAAGUCUCACAGCAAAUACGCUAAAACCCCUGCUUUUAACAAUUAUACUGCAGGAAUUGCCUAGUGGUCCAGUGGUUAGGAUUCGGCGCUUUCACUGUGGUGGCCCAGGUUCAGUCCCUGGUCAGGGAACUAAGAUCCCGCAAGCCGCGUGGCCAAAAAAAAAAAAAAUUAUACUGCACACCCCCCACCCUAUACCCCACUCCUCACCCCAAACCCCCAGCCCCUCCAAAGCAAAAUGAACCAUGUUCACUGCAUGGGCAGAGUGAGCUGUCAAGCUGCCUUCUCCCAUCUAUUUAAUUCAGAAUGCCCCCUCUGAUCCAGCUUAUAGGCUACUGCACACCCUCUAAAGACUUCUAACCGCCUUCUCCCAAUCCCUGAAUUUCAAGAGCACUUCAUUUGUUCCUUUCUUGUGGCACUGUAUCUUUUAUCACGUCUUUUAUCACCACCUUUAUCACAAGUUCCUAUUUCCCCCACUAGUCUCAAUUUCAUGGAAAGAAGUCAAUUUGGUUCAUCUGGGUCUUCAGUACUAAAUACAGUGCUUGGCACAGAGCAGGCACUCAGAAAACAGUUGAAAUAAAAGCACCAAGGAUAUUUGUCCCUAGAGGCUCGGCUGACAAAAUCGGGGGGUGGGGUGGAUAUGCCUGUCGAAGCCUUCAUAACUGCACACAGGUUAAACUAUAAAAUCUGCUUGCCAUGAAGCGGGGUUGUACGGAGAGGGUGAGAAGGGAAAACGGGUACAUCGUAAUUGGCAGUGCCUGUGUGUAUUAUCAUUCGGUACAGAGAAUCUGAGGAGUUAGCCAUCCCCAUCUCACAAAUCAGGAGUGAGGCUCGGAGAAGGGUUGUGCCUUGCCUGAGCCUGGGGGCAGGGUGGUUAACCGAUGAAGGGCUGGGACCAGGUGCGAUGGAGGAGGCCUUAUCACAUGGCCCCAGCAGGCUUCUGUUGAAAGGAGUUAGCUCUUGCUUCGCAGGGGCCCCGGGAGGGGUAAUGCAAAGAGGAGUCAGGGGCCCAGGAUGCCAGGUGCGCACUCAGCGCUCUUAAAAUCCUAUGGUGGCACCCCUGCUGCUGUUCCCACCGGAUGGAAGGAAACGGACUAGGGGUGGGGUUGGGGCGGAAGGGGCACGCUAGAGGCCUGAGCUUAAGGAUGCAAAGCAGUGGCGCCCGAGGAGGCCCCAAAGCGGGGCGGCGCCCGGUAGCAUCCCGGCCCCACCCCAGCCCAGGGCUCCCUGGUCUGAAAAUGCCCGAGAACCCACUCCCGGGUUCCCGCCCCUCACACGGCUUACACCAACGUGCCGGGGGCCACCAUUUCCCAAACUGCUAGGUGCACGCAGGCGCCGGAAGACCCGGCCCACCCCCGCCUGGGCCCACAAUGCUCCGGGAAGCACAGCUUCCGGUCCCUUGACGCCUUUUCUCUAGGGACUGCAGUCCAUCGCGGUGUAGAAGAUUUGGGGCCGGGGAGAUCUUCCAUCUCUCCCAGACCGUAACAGCGGUGCUCUAGGGCCCCCUCAGCGGUCGCGCACCCACCUGGGUAGCCUCCUUUGCCGACUGGCGGGAGAGGCGGGGCUACGCUGUUUCUCCACCAAUCAGAACCGCAGUUUGGGGCUGGUGAGGGGCGGGCCCCAGGCUCCCACCAAUCACAGCCUGUCUGCCCUGGGCGGUGGUCCAGGAGCCUCUGAGGGACGCUAAGCAUGUCUGUCUUCUGGGAAGUGAGUUUGCUCCAGGAGCUGGCGACCGUGGCUGGGUUAGCGCUUUCAUCCUGGAGAAUGUAGCUCACCUGGGACACCUUAUCGCGCAUAAGGUGACGCCUACGGUUUGUGACGAAAAGGGGUAAACAGCUGUGUGGUGUCUUGAAAAGAACAUGGUUUCUAGAGUCAGACAGAGUUGACUUCAGAUCGAGGCUCUGCUACUUAGCUGAAUAACCAUGGGCUGUCUCUGCGCCACAGAUCAGCCUGAGAUGUAAACUUAAGGUCUCCUCAGGUCUUUUCUGGACCUGCAUCUUUCCCUGGGCUGGUUGCUCCUUGAAGGCCACUGGAACACUGUCCCCAACAGGAAUCAGCCUAACACAAAGAAGUUAUCAAUAAGUGUCUGGUGAAUUUGACUUACCUUCCUUAUACUACAUAGCUACCACCCACAAUACCAUAAAAACACUUUCCCAUCUUCCUUAUUUCUCUUCUGAGGUAACAAACCCAGGCUCCUGUAAUCUGGGUUUCAUUCAUUUACAUAAAUGCCUGAACAGCUUUUAUUUUGGUCACUGAUGAAAGGAAAGACAGAUAUCCCUGCUCUCAAAAUGCAAUAAUGGGCAGAAUAAAGGAUACACAGUUAAGUUA